GACGAACGCUGGCGGCGUGCCUAAUACAUGCAAGUCGAACGAGUGGCGGACGGGUGAGUAAUGUCUGGGAACCUGCCUGAUGGAGGGGGAUAACUACUGGAAACGGUAGCUAAUACCGCAUACCAUCAGAUGUGCCCAGAUGGGAUUAGCUAGUUGGUGGGGUAACGGCUCACCAAGGCGACGAUCCCUAGCUGGUCUGAGAGGAUGACCAGCAACACGGGAACUGAGACAGGGCCCAGACUCCUACGGAAGGCACCAGUGGGGAAUAUUGCACAAUGGGCGCAAGCCGGAUGCAGCCAUGCCGCGUGUAUGAAGAAGGCCUUCGGUUGGUAAAGUACUUUCAGCGGGGAGGCGUUACCCGAAGAAGAAGCACCGGCUAACUCCGUGCCAGCCGCCGCGGUAAUUC
rnacentral:rRNA from 1 species